rnacentral:rRNA from 1 species
AGUGAACGCUGGCGGUAGGCCUAACACAUGCAAGUCGAACGGCAGCACAGUAAGAGCUUGCUCUUACGGGUGGCGAGUGGCGGACGGGUGAGGAAUACAUCGGAAUCUACUUUUUCGUGGGGGAUGACGUAGGGAAACUUACGCUAAUACCGCAUACGACCUACGGGUGAAAGCAGGGGAUCUUCGGACCUUGCGCGAUUGAAUGAGCCGAUGUCGGAUUAGCUAGUUGGCGGGGUAAAGGCCGACCAAGGCGACGAUCCGUAGCUGGCCUGAGAGGAUGAUCAGCCACACUGGAACUGAGACACGGUCCAGACUCCGACGGGAGGCAGCAGUGGGGAAUAUUGGACAAUGGGAGCAAGCCUGAUCCAGCCAUACCGCGUGGGUGAAGAAGGCCUUCGGGUUGUAAAGCCCUUUUGUUGGGAAAGAAAAGAAGCAGGUUAAUACCCCGCUGUUCUGACGGUACCCAACGAAUAAGCACCGGCUAACUUCGUG